rnacentral:lncRNA from 1 species
UAUACUUCACACUAAAAUAAGAUUAACCAUGUUUUAAUUACAGUACAUUGAGGUUGGUUUAUUAAAUGAAAAAUAAUGUGCCUGCUAAGCUUAAAGUUAGAAGAACCAAAUGAAAGACACACAGUUGAGAAGUAUUUUCUUCUUACACAGGAGCCUUUAAAGAGAUGAACACUUUUAAAAGAACUUAAGUGCUUUCUUUUAUUUUCUUGAACUUAGGUGAAGUUCAGACUCCAGUGAACAACAUUAAAGACCAUAAUGCCAGAUACUUUUCAAGCAUAAAUGGAACUAAAAAACAAGCAAAAUUACUCAGGCCUCUGACACAUUUUGGAUCUUUCCCAGGCUGGAGAGACCUACUCUGCCCAGUCUUUCUUCCUAUGGAAGAUACUCCAUACUUGUGAUCUUUGCAGUUCUUCUCUGAAGCUUUUCCAGUUUUAUCUUUUUGA